rnacentral:tRNA from 1 species
GGGAAUGUGGCUUAGUGGUAGAGUGCUUGCCUAGCAUGCAUGAAGCCCUGGGUUCGAUUCCUCAAUGCCU